rnacentral:rRNA from 2 species
UGGGCGUAAGCGCGCGCAGGCGGUUUCUUAAGUCUGAUGUGAAAGCCCACGGCUCAACCGUGGAGGGUCAUUGGAAACUGGGGAACUUGAGUGCAGAAGAGAAAAGCGGAAUUCCACGUGUAGCGGUGAAAUGCGUAGAGAUGUGGAGGAACACCAGUGGCGAAGGCGGCUUUUUGGUCUGUAACUGACGCUGAGGCGCGAAAGCGUGGGGAGCAAACAGGAUUAGAUACCCUGGUAGUCCACGCCGUAAACGAUGAGUGCUAAGUGUUAGAGGGUUUCCGCCCUUUAGUGCUGCAGCUAACGCAUUAAGCACUCCGCCUGGGGAGUACGGUCGCAAGACUGAAACUCAAAGGAAUUGACGGGGGCCCGCACAAGCGGUGGAGCAUGUGGUUUAAUUCUAAGCUACGCGAAGAACCUUACCAGGUCUUGAC